GACGAACGCUGGCGGCGUGCUUAACACAUGCAAGUCGAGCGAUGAAGCUCCUUCGGGAGUGGAUUAGCGGCGGACGGGUGAGUAACACGUGGGUAACCUGCCUCAUAGAGGGGAAUAGCCUUCCGAGAGGAAGAUUAAUACCGCAUAAGAUUGUAGUACCGCAUGGUAUAGCAAUUAAAGGAGCAAUCCGUUAUGAGAUGGACCCGCGUCGCAUUAGCUAGUUGGUGAGGUAACGGCUCACCAAGGCGACGAUGCGUAGCCGACCUGAGAGGGUGAUCGGCCACAUUGGGACUGAGACACGGCCCAGACUCCUACGGGAGGCAGCAGUGGGGAAUAUUGCACAAUGGGGGAAACCCUGAUGCAGCAACGCCGCGUGAGUGAUGACGGUCUUCGGAUUGUAAAACUCUGUCUUCAGGGACGAUAAUGACGGUACCUGAGGAGGAAGCCACGGCUAACUACGUGCCAGCAGCCGCAGUAACAC
rnacentral:rRNA from 1 species